GUACACCCACCAAAGCCCUUCUUCCACCUCAAAAUCCAGCAACCAACAAAGAGCUAACUUAGCGACCAAGACCGACCAAGCCGACCGCAAUGGAGGGGAAACCAAGGAGCGUGGCCUUGGCAUUGGCCGUAGUCCUGGUGGUGGCCACCACCAUGGAGAUGGGCUUGGUGUCUGGGGCCCAGGGGAUUUGCAAUAUGACCAGGGACGAGCUGAUGGCCUGCAAGCCGUGCAUCAGCACGGUGAAGCCCGUGGAGAAGCCUGCGGACGUGUGCUGCACGGCGCUCGCCCAUGCCGACCUGCCCUGCUUCUGUGCUAUAAGAACUCCGGCAUGCUGCCGUACCUCGGCAUCGACCCCAGCCUCGCCAUGCAGCUCCCGGCCAAAUGCAGCGUCCCUGCACCCCCCCAGUGCAAAUGAAGGAGGCGAGCCAUUGUUUGUUAUUUUGGUAGCUCGGUGAAGUUACUGGUGGAACUAAUUCUAGCUAGUCUCAUGAGAAAGGUGACAAUGUUGCAUGGUUUGGUAGUAUUACGUUCUUCUUGUUCUCCGUACGUAUCGAGGUGUUUUUUUUCUGCUUUGCUAGUGCAUGGCCUGGUAUGUUUCUUGUUUUCUGUGUGAUGUAAUGAAGGGCUAGUAAGUAAUAUAUGGCUCUUGUUUUCCUGUUUAA